GGAUGUUUCUCGACCUUUGUACAAUUUCAAGCCUAAGCAACAAUAAGGGCGAUUUAACCCGUGAAACAUCAGCUAACGAGCAAGCUAAUUUUCCAUAAAACUUAUCAACAAAAUAUCAUCCAAAUCCUUUGAACAAUGUGGGAAGGUCGUGGUGUGUUCCCUUACUUUACAUGGAAGAAACUGAAAGGUUAUGGUAAAAGUUCCAUGAAAUGUGUGAGCUUCAUUUCAGUUUGCUGGUCUAGUCUCUGACAUGGAGAGUACAGAGAUUCCUUCCCGGAACCAGCAGCACUCGAGGGAGGAUGUGGAAUUUUGAGAGAUCCCUCAGUGCAGUCAGGCUGCUGGAGCUUUAAGGAGAAAAGGCAGCAAAUAAAACAAAAGUCAAUUUCUCCAAAUAUAAGAGUUUAGGCUUCUUCUGGUUAUAAUGCAUUUCUUAAAUCCUACAUCUGUGUCACUUGUUUAAUUUUACUUCAAUACAAAACUGCAGCAUCUUAAAAAAAGAAAUUCAAAGUAACACCCAUGCACCACUGACACGACCCAGCAGC